rnacentral:lncRNA from 1 species
GUCCGAUGGAAGAUGUUGAUGCUUCUGGAAGCAAUGAUAAAAAUAUAUAGAUAAAGACAAAAGAGGAGGAAACAGAAGUGCGAGUCAGGACAUGCAUGAUUUGCCUGAACGAGAAGACGAGUCACAGAGGAAGACUUGAACCUAAAGCUGCAGUUUUCAGUUGUUGGAACGUAAGAAACUCAGAUGGAAGUGAGUUAACAAAAACAAGCAUAAGAACAUCCUCCUGA